rnacentral:rRNA from 1 species
UACGUAGGGUGCGAGCGUUAAUCGGAAUUACUGGGCGUAAAGCGUGCGCAGGCGGUUGUGGAAGACAGAGGUGAAAUCCCCGGGCUUAACUUGGGAACUGCCUUUGUGACUGCACGGCUAGAGUGUGUCAGAGGGGGGUAGAAUUCCACGUGUAGCAGUGAAAUGCGUAGAUAUGUGGAGGAAUACCGAUGGCGAAGGCAGCCCCCUGGGAUAACACUGACGCUCAUGCACGAAAGCGUGGGGAGCAAACAGG